rnacentral:rRNA from 1 species
AAAUUGAAGAGUUUGAUCAUGGCUCAGAUUGAACGCUGGCGGCAGGCCUAACACAUGCAAGUCGAGCGGUAGCACAGAGAGCUUGCUCUCGGGUGACGAGCGGCGGACGGGUGAGUAAUGUCUGGGAAACUGCCUGAUGGAGGGGGAUAACUACUGGAAACGGUAGCUAAUACCGCAUAAUGUCGCAAGACCAAAGUGGGGGACCUUCGGGCCUCAUGCCAUCAGAUGUGCCCAGAUGGGAUUAGCUAGUAGGUGGGGUAACGGCUCACCUAGGCGACGAUCCCUAGCUGGUCUGAGAGGAUGACCAGCCACACUGGAACUGAGACACGGUCCAGACUCCUACGGGAGGCAGCAGUGGGGAAUAUUGCACAAUGGGCGCAAGCCUGAUGCAGCCAUGCCGCGUGUGUGAAGAAGGCCUUCGGGUUGUAAAGCACUUUCAGCGGGGAGGAAGGCGGUGAGGUUAAUAACCUCAUCGAUUGACGUUACCCGCAGAAGAAGCACCGGCUAACUCCGUGCCAGCAGCCGCGGUAAUACGGAGGGUGCAAGCGUUAAUCGGAAUUACUGGGCGUAAAGCGCACGCAGGCGGUCUGUCAAGUCGG